AUAGUGCUGACUUGGGCACUGUGGAAACACGACCUCUUCCCAGUGAGCUCCUCCCAGCAUUAUCUCGUGGUAGGAUCACAGCAGAGCUCAGCCUGUCCCAGAGUGAGCAAAAGGGGGAGGGGAGAAGCUCCUGAUUUUUCAGUAUGCAGUAGAUAAACACCAUUAAUACCCUCUUCAAAGGAGCCUGUGCAUAUUGCCUUGCCUAGCAGAGGUACAGGCAGGCAUAAGCAGAUGAAGCAAUUACUUGGGACACUGGGAAAGCAAUAGCCUUUCCAUUUUAAGCUGCAGUGAGAGCACAGUGGAUCUCAGGCACUAAUGCACUGAUAUAGAAGAAAGGCCAGAGUCUGACUUGGACCAGGAACAUCUCUAUUCGCUUCAGCAAGGUUUUAGUCAACUAAACUGUGUGAAUGACAGGACACUGAAAAUACUCCAACAAAUCUAAUUUUCAAAAUAAUUACACUGGUGUUUCCUGGGGAAAAAUAAACCCAAACUACAGCUAUGCUGCAAGUAAUACCACAGGAAACCUAUCAUAGCAAACCAGGCUGACUACAGCUGUGGAGGGUGAAAUGGGUAGAAAGGAAUGCUGCUGUUUCUCUGGUUUGUGUUCUUUUUGCCAAGUGAAGAAAGUUGCUAUUGUUGUUAGUUUUGAAACUGAUCGAAAAUGCUGAGUGAAAUGACUAAAGAUUGAAUUGCUGGAAAUAUCUGCAAGAGGAAUUCUGUAAGGCAACAGUGUUCAUGCAUAUUCCCAUCCGUUGACCAUGCCACCCUCAGGGAGGGAGCACAGGACUGCUGCAAUGGGAAAACUUAGGUGUUGUGUCCUCCCAGUUUCUCCCUCUUCCUAGAGAAAUCAAGGAACUUCCUUGUGGAGGUGCUCUGGAAAGUACUUCUCUGCUUUCCUCUCUUUUCUACUCUCGUCAGGUACAAGCCUGCUCUGUAAUUGUUUCUCUCCUAACCAUGGGUGUUUCUCUGAGGAGAUUCCUCGUUCAGGAUAUCCAAGACACCAGAGGGCAGCAGAAGUGUUAAAGCAGAAAUUGCAAAAGCAUCAACCUUCCCAACAGAAGGACCUCUUUUGAUGAUGAUAAACCGUGAUUGUGUAAGAGGUUUGUAAUGACCUGACAGUAUCAAUUCAUAAUGAAACUGGUAGAAAAACGAUGUAAUUAUGACACUACCAAAACUGUGCAAUAGCUACUUCUGAGCAGCACUGCUGGAAACUGUUAUGACCCACAUGUACAAAAGUGGAAGAGAAAUACCGAAAUGUUGCUGAGAGUAAUAGACACAUGAAGUCUUUAAUUUAACUCUCA